rnacentral:rRNA from 1 species
CCCUUAGAUGUUCUGGGCCGCACGCGUGCUACACUGAGUGGAUCAGCGGGUCAGGUUGUGCGAAAGUGUUUCCUAAUCUUGAAAUCCGCUCGUGAUGGGGAUUGACGGUUGCAAUUUUCCGUCAUGAACGAGGAAUACCUUGUAAGCGCGGGUCAUCAUCCCGCGCUGAAUACGUCCCUGCCCUUUGUACACACCGCCCGUCGCUCCUACCGAUUGAGUGGUCCGGUGAGGCUUUGGGAUCUGAGCAAAGAGAGCGUUUCGCUCGUUUUGCCCGGAAAACUCAGUCGAACCUUAUCAUUUAGAGGAAGGAGAAGUCGUAACA